GAUAAACGCUAGCGGCAGGCUUAACACAUGCAAGUCGAGGGGCAGCAUAGAUUGUAGCAAUACAAUUGGUGGCGACCGGCGCACGGGUGCGUAACGCGUAUGCAACCUACCCGUCACAGGGGGAUAAUCCGGAGAAAUCUGGUCUAAUACCCCAUAACAUAUGGAUCGGCAUCGGUUCAUGUUGAAAUCUUCGGAGGUGACGGAUGGGCAUGCGGAGCAUUAGCUUGUUGGUGAGGUAACGGCUCACCAAGGCGACGAUGCUUAGGGGGACUGAGAGGUUUUCCCCCCACACUGGUACUGAGACACGGACCAGACUCCUACGGGAGGCAGCAGUGAGGAAUAUUGGUCAAUGGGCGCAAGCCUAAACCAGCCAUGCCGCGUGCAGGAUGACGGCUCUAUGAGUUGUAAACUGCUUCUGUACGAGGGUAAAGUGGGUUACGUGUAACCUUUUGAAAGUAUCGUACGAAUAAGGAUCGGCUAACUCCGUGCCAGCCGCCGCCGUAA
rnacentral:rRNA from 1 species